GUCCUGAUUCUCCUGGAGUCUCCAGCCCGCCCAGUGGCCGCAGUCACCCAGGUCCAGAGGCGGCGGUAUCACAGGCUCUCCGACAUGUCUAUGCUGGCUGAACGUCGGCGGAAGCAGAAGUGGGCUGUGGAUCCUCAGAACACUGCUUGGAGUAAUGACGAUUCCAAGUUUGGCCAGCGGAUGCUAGAGAAGAUGGGGUGGUCUAAAGGAAAGCCCAGUCGUCGUUUGUCUCCAGCCUCCCGCAGCCCCAGUCGUCAUUCUUCUCCAGCCUCCCGCACCCCAGUCGUCUCUUCUCCAGCCUCCGGCACCCCAGUCGUCUCUUCUCCAUGCAGGGCAGAGCCCCGCUUCAGCCACUGUCAUCACUUGAGCUCACUGACUGGGUUUAGGGGCUCAGGAGCAAGGAGCCACAGAUCAUAUUAAAGUUCAAGUGAAAAAUAACCACCUGGGACUCGGAGCUACCAUCAAUAAUGAAG
rnacentral:misc_RNA from 1 species